UACGGGGGGGGCAAGCGUUGUUCGGAAUUACUGGGCGUAAAGGGCGCGUAGGCGGUUUGCUAAGUUGGAUGUGAAAACUCUGGGCUUAACCCAGAGCCUGCAUCCAAAACUGGCAAACUUGAGUACUGGAGGGGAAAGCGGAGUUCCUGGUGUAGCGGUGAAAUGCGUAGAUAUCUGGAGGAACACCGGUGGCGAAGGCGGCAUCCUGGACCAACACUGACACUGAGGAGCGAAAGCCAGGGGAGCAAACGGG
rnacentral:rRNA from 1 species